rnacentral:rRNA from 1 species
CCUACGGGGGGCAGCAGUAGGGAAUCUUCCACAAUGGGCGAAAGCCUGAUGGAGCAACGCCGCGUGGGUGAAGAAGGUCUUCGGAUCGUAAAACCCUGUUGUUAGAGAAGAAAGUGCGUGAGAGUAACUGUUCACGUUUCGACGGUAUCUAACCAGAAAGCCACGGCUAACUACGUGCCAGCAGCCGCGGUAAUACGUAGGGGGCAAGCGUUAUCCGGAUUUAUUGGGCGUAAAGCGAGUGAAGGCGGUUCAAUA